CUUCCCCAAGAGGCCCACACCCUGAGCAUGGGGACACAGUGCUGCCUGCCCCGUUGUGCCAUGGGCUCCAGGCUCCUCCACUGGGCGAUGCUUUGCCUCCUGGGGACAGGCCCGGCAGAGGCUGGAGUCACCCAAACUCCAGGACACCUGAUCAAAGCAAGAGGACAGCAAGUGACACUGAAGUGUUUCCCUGUCUCUGGGCACGACCAGGUGUCCUGGUACCAGCAGGCCCUGGGUCAGGGCCCCCAGUUCCUCAUUCAGUAUUAUGGAGGGCAAGAGUUAGAAAAAGGAAACUUUCCUGCCCGAUUCUCGGGUCACCAGUUCCGUGACUAUCGCUCUGAGCUGAACCUGAGCGCCUUGGAGCUGGGGGACUCGGCCCUGUAUCUCUGCGCCAGCAGCUUCCACAGCCCUGCAGAGCCACCAGCGCUCUGUGCACAAACCUCCCUGCCCCAGCCUGGAGGAACCUCAGCCCUGACGUAUCUGUGA